GAAUUGAAAGGUACUCGAAGAUCAAGA
rnacentral:piRNA from 1 species